rnacentral:rRNA from 1 species
UACGGAGGGGGUUAGCGUUGUUCGGAAUUACUGGGCGUAAAGGGCGCGUAGGCGGUCGGACAAGUGGAAGGUGAAAUCCCCGGGCUCAACCUGGGAACUGCCCUCCAAACUGUUUGACUUGAGUCCGGGAGAGGUGAGUGGAAUUCCCAGUGUGGCGGUGAAAUGCGUAGAUAUUGGGAGGAACACCAGUGGCGAAGGCGGCUCACUGGACCGGAACUGACGCUGAGGCGCGAAAGCGUGGGGAGCAAAACAGGG